GCCGAAGUGGCGGAACUGGCAGACGCGUACGACUCAAACUCGUAUUCCCUCGGGAGUGAGGGUUCGAUUCCCUCCUUCGGCA
rnacentral:tRNA from 1 species